rnacentral:rRNA from 1 species
CCUACGGGAGGCAGCAGUGAGGAAUAUUGGUCAAUGGACGAGAGUCUGAACCAGCCAAGUAGCGUGAAGGAUGACUGCCCUAUGGGUUGUAAACUUCUUUUAUAUGGGACUAAAAUGUUCCACGUGUGGGAUUUUGUAUGUACCAUAUGAAUAAGGAUCGGCUAACUCCGUGCCAGCAGCCGCGGUAAUACGGAGGAUCCGAGCGUUAUACGGAUUUAUUGGGUUUAAAGGGAGCGUAGGUGGAUUGUUAAGUCAGUUGUGAAAGUUUGCGGCUCAACCGUAAAAUUGCAGUUGAAACUGGCAGUCUUGAGUACAGUAGAGGUGGGCGGAAUUCGUGGUGUAGCGGUGAAAUGCUUAGAUAUCACGAAGAACUCCGAUUGCGAAGGCAGUUCACUGGACUGCAACUGACACUGAGGCUCGAAAGUGUGGGUAUCAAACAGGAUUAGAUACCCGAGUAGUC